CCAGACUCCUACGGGAGGCAGCAGUGGGGAAUAUUGCACAAUGGGGGGAACCCUGAUGCAGCGACGCCGCGUGGGUGAAGAAGUCAUUCGUGACGUAAAGCCCUAUCGGCAGGGAAGAAGAUGACGGUACCUGACCAAGAAGCCCCGGCUAACUACGUGCCAGCAGCCGCGGUAAUACGUAUGGUGCAAGCGUUAUCCGGAUUUACUGGGUGUAAAGGGAGCGCAGGCGGCACGGCAAGCCUGAUGUGAAAGGCUGGGGCUCAACCCCAGGACUGCAUUUGGAACUGUCAUGCUAGAGUGUCGGAGAGGCAGGCGGAAUUCCUAGUGUAGCGGUGAAAUGCGUAGAUAUGAGGAGGAACACCAGUGGCGAAGGCGGCCUGCUGGACUAUGACUGACGUUGAGGCUCGAAAGCGUGGGGAGCAAACAGGAUUAGAUACCCGGGUAAG
rnacentral:rRNA from 1 species